rnacentral:rRNA from 1 species
GAGUUUGAUUCUGGCUCAGGAUGAACGCUGGCGGCGUGCCUAACACAUGCAAGUCGAACGGAGAUUAUAAACGGAAGUUUUCGGAUGGAAGUUUAUAAUCUUAGUGGCGGACGGGUGAGUAACGCGUGGGCAACCUGCCUCAUACAGGGGGACAACAGACGGAAACGUCUGCUAAGACCGCAUACGUCUUUUUGGUCGCAUGACUGAGAAGGGAAAAGAGCAAUCUGGUAUGAGAUGGGCCCGCGUCUGAUUAGCUGGUUGGUAAAGUAACGGCUUACCAAGGCAACGAUCAGUUGCCGGACUGAGAGGUCGGACGGCCACAUUGGGACUGAGACACGGCCCAAACUCCUACGGGAGGCAGCAGUGGGGGAUAUUGCACAAUGGAGGAAACUCUGAUGCAGCGACGCCGCGUGAGUGAAGAAGUAUUUCGGUAUGUAAAGCUCUAUCAGCAGGGAAGAUGAUGACGUACCUGACUAAGAGCCCCG